UACGUAGGUCCCGAGCGUUGUCCGGAUUUAUUGGGCGUAAAGCGAGCGCAGGUGGUUUAUUAAGUCUGGUGUAAAAGGCAGUGGCUCAACCAUUGUAUGCAUUGGAAACUGGUAGACUUGAGUGCAGGAGAGGAGAGUGGAAUUCCAUGUGUAGCGGUGAAAUGCGUAGAUAUAUGGAGGAACACCGGUGGCGAAAGCGGCUCUCUGGCCUGUAACUGACACUGAGGCUCGAAAGCGUGCGGAGCAAACAGG
rnacentral:rRNA from 1 species